rnacentral:rRNA from 1 species
UAUUUAUUUUAUUAUAUUUAUUUUUUGUUUAUUUAAUUAUUUAAUAAAAAUAAUUUUGUUGAAUUUUGUCUUAGUAUAUUUUGUAGAAUUGAUUUUUUAUAUUAUAGUUUAUUGGUAAUGUAAUUGUUUUAUGAAAUAUUAUUUUAAAUUUUUAAAAGUAGAUUUUAUUUAUUGUACCUUUUGUAUCAGGGUUUAUCAAAAUUUUAGUAUUUACUUUACUUGUCUCGAUUUGGGUUGAUUUAUAAAUAAUUUAUAGUUAAUGUAUCAUAAUUCUUAUUAAAUUAUUUAUAGAAAUGAGAUGUUAACCGUUUCCCAAGAUAUCUAGUUUCUUAAGAAAAAAUUUAAUUUUUUAAAGUUAAUUGUUUUUAUUUAAUUUUUUAAGUAUAAAUAUUAACUUAUUUAUUCUUUAAGGGAUAAGCUUUGAAGUUAAUAACCUAUAAUUUGUUUUAAUAAAAUAUAAUAGUAAGCUUUAAACCNGCUAUCUUUAAGAUUACGUUUUAGUUCAUUAUUUUUAUUUUUGAUUUUAUAACUAUUUUAGGUUUUUUAUUAAGAUUAUAAAUUUAAUUUUUAAAUUUUUGUAAUAAUGAUAGAAUUAGUACAUUUAUUUGUAGAUAAUUUUUACCUUGUUAAUUUAUUAUAAGGAACUAGGC